rnacentral:rRNA from 1 species
AACAAUACAAGGCAGUUAAAAUGCUUUGUAAUUGGAAUGAUAGAAAUUUAAACCCUUUUUAAAGUAUCAAUUGGAGGGCAAGUCUGGUGCCAGCAGCCGCGGUAAUUCCAGCUCCAAUAGCGUAUAUUAAAAUUGUUGCAGUUAAAAAGCUCGUAGUUGAAGUUCUGCUAAAAGUAACCGGUCUGCUUUUAAUAAAAGUGGUAUCUUGGUAUGUAUUUAGCAAUGAUGUCCUUUGAAGUGUUUUUUACUUUAUUGUAAUAAAGCAUAUUCAGGACUUUUACUUUGAGAAAAUUAGAGUGUUUCUAGCAGGCUAACGCUUUGAAUACUGCAGCAUGGAAUAAUAAGAUAGGAUUUUAGUUCUACAUUAUUGGUUUUAAGAGCUAAAUUAAUGAUUGAUAGGGACAGUUGGGGGCAUUUGUAUUUAACUGUCAGAGGUGAAAUUCUUAGAUUUGUUAAAGACAAACUACUGCGAAAGCAUUUGCCAAAGAUGUUUUCAUUAAUCAAGAACGAAAGUUAGGGGAUCGAAGACGAUCAGAUACCGUCGUAGUCUUAACUAUAAACUAUGCCGACUAGAGAUUGGAGGUCGUCUUUAUAAAC